rnacentral:rRNA from 1 species
AUUUUCGCCUUGCUCCCCAUAUCAACCUGAUCUCGUCAGAUCUCGGAAGCUACGAGCAGGGUUGAGAUUGGUUAGUACUUUGGUGGGGAAGACUCCUCUAGAAUACCAGGUGAUGGAGGUU